GACAGAAUGGCCGAGCGGUCUAAGGCGCUGCGUUCAGGUCGCAGUCAGUAAUGGCGUGGGUUCGAAUCCCACUUCUGUCA
rfam:Theileria equi strain WA chromosome 2 gcontig_1105316255037, whole genome shotgun sequence.